CGAGUCCUGAUGUGUACGACGUUAACCCUGAUAGUUUUGACCGAACAAUUAAAACUUUGGGAGCUUGUCGUUUCUGUUACGCGUUCAUGCCUCUUUCAGUGGACUUACAACUAACAGAGCAAAGCACCCACCUGCCGAGAGCGGGUUCAAAACGAAGGAAUCGCAGCGACGGCACAAUUGGGACUCGU
rnacentral:other from 5 species